AACAGGACACUCACCAUGGAUUUAGGGCUCAUAUUGGUUUCCUUUGUCCUUAUUUUAAAAGGUGGACAGUGUGAGAUGCAAUUGCUGGAGUCCGGGGGAGGCUUAGUGCGGCCUGGAAAGUCCCUGAAACUCUCCUGUGCAGCCUCUGGAUUCACCUUCAGUAGCUACUGGAUGAUUUGGGUCCGCCAUGCUCCAGGCAAGACGCUGGAGUGGAUCACACACAUUAAUCCAGAUGGUGGUAGCACCUGGUAUAUCGACUCUGUGAAGGGCCGCUUCACAAUCUCCAGAGACAAUGCCAAGAACACUCUGUACCUGGAAAUGAACAGUCUGAUAUCUGAAGACACAGCCUUGUAUUACUGUGCAAGAGACACAGUGAGUGAACGUUACUGUGAGCUCAGACAAAAACACUGCUGUGGAGAACACAGGACCAGCAGGGGGCGCUGA